CGCUCUGUAUAAAUGUGCGCCAGGCGACAGUGCCAAUACUUGGGUCUGAAGGAGGAGGCCGCGGCUGGAGGUGUCACGUCGAGGGGGAUGUUCGGAACGUGAGAGAAAACCAGGAAGAACGACCACUCCAGGACCAGGGUACUAUGCGGGUAUGGCUGUUACUAGUCGUUGCUUUCACUUCAGUCUGCGGAAGACCAGGGAGGUAUCGCGCCACGAGUCCGAGCGGCGUUAAGGAAAGGGAAUUCGGCGAGUUGACGGAGCUGGGAAAAUUCUUCAGAAGAUGCCGUGACGAGGCGACCCAGGCGCCAUCCGCGAAGGGAGGCCUGGCACGGUGCCUCAGGAAAUACGGGGUCGCUGAGGGGAGCAGUGCCCGGGGGGGAGUCAAGAGAGGGAGA